rnacentral:rRNA from 1 species
GACGAACGCUGGCGGCGUGCUUAACACAUGCAAGUCGAACGGAAGGGCCCUGCUUUUGUGGGGUGCUCGAGUGGCGAACGGGUGAGUAACACGUGAGUAACCUGCCCUUGACUUUGGGAUAACUUCAGGAAACUGGGGCUAAUACCGGAUAGGAGCUCCUGCUGCAUGGUGGGGGUUGGAAAGUUUCGGCGGUUGGGGAUGGACUCGCGGCUUAUCAGCUUGUUGGUGGGGUAGUGGCUUACCAAGGCUUCGACGGGUAGCCGGCCUGAGAGGGUGACCGGCCACAUUGGGACUGAGAUACGGCCCAGACUCCUACGGGAGGCAGCAGUGGGGAAUAUUGCACAAUGGGCGGAAGCCUGAUGCAGCAACGCCGCGUGCGGGAUGACGGCCUUCGGGUUGUAAACCGCUUUCGCCUGUGACGAAGCGUGAGUGACGGUAAUGGGUAAAGAAGCACCGGCUAACUACGUG